GACGAACGCUGGCGGCGUGCCUAAUACAUGCCAGUCGAACGCACAGGUUAUACCGUAGCUUGCUACACCAUAAACGGUGAGUUGCGAACGGGGGAGGAACGCGUAGGUAACCUGCCUGGUAACGGGGGAUAACUAUUGGAAACGCUAGCUAAUACCGCAUACUAUUGAUUAUUGCAUGGAAAUUGAUGGAAAGAUGCUAUUGAAUCACUACCAGAUGGACCGGCGUUGUAUUAGCUAGUAGGUGAGGUAACGGCUCACCUAGGCGACGAUACAUAGCCGACAUGAGAGGGUGAUCGGCCACACUGGGAGGGUGACACGGCCCAGACGCCCUCGGGUGGCGGCAAUAGGGAUUCUGCGGCAAGCGGUGAAAGUCAGAGCGAGAUGCGCCGAGUGAGUGUAGAGGAUCGCCGGAUCGUAAAGCACGGUUGUAAGAGUAUAAAGGGUGUUAGACUGGAACGUUGACAGUGUGACGGUAUCUUACAAGAAAGCAACGGCUAACUACGUG
rnacentral:rRNA from 1 species